UACGUAGGCAGCGAGCGUUGUUCGGAAUUACUGGGCGUAAAGAGUGUGUAGGCGGUGCUCUAAGUUCGGUGUGAAAUCUCCCGGCUUAACUGGGAGGGUGCGCCGGAAACUGGAGUGCUCGAGCGUGGGAGAGGAGAGCGGAAUUCCUGGUGUAGCGGUGAAAUGCGUAGAUAUUCGGAAGAACACCAGUGGCGAAGGCGACUUACUGGACACAUAUUGACGCUGAGGUGCGAAAGCGUGGGGAGCAAACAGG
rnacentral:rRNA from 1 species